GAUGAACGCUGACAGAAUGCUUAACACAUGCAAGUCUUUGGCGAAGCUGUGCUCGCACAGCCUAGCCAAGGCGGACGGGUGAGUAACGCGUAAGGAACUUGCCCUGCAGUCAGGGAUAACAGACGGAAACGACUGAUAAGACCUGGUAAAGUCAGGCGGACUCAUGUCCAGCCUGAUGAAAAGAGAUGCUGCAGGAGAGCCUUGCGUCCUAUUAGCUUGUUGGUGGGGUAACGGCCCACCAAGGCGAUGAUAGGUAGCCGGCCUGAGAGGGUGGACGGCCACAAGGGGACUGAGAGACGGCCCUGACUCCUACGGGAGGCAGCAGUGGGGAAUAUUGGACAAUGGGGGCAACCCUGAUCCAGCAAUUCUGUGUGCACGAUGAAGGUUUUCGGAUUGUAAAGUGCUUUCAGCAGGGAAGAAAAAAAUGACGGUACCUGCAGAAGAAGCGACGGCUAAAUACGUG
rnacentral:rRNA from 1 species